rnacentral:lncRNA from 1 species
AAAUAGCAGUUUUUUAAAAAUAUAUAUAAAUAUACAACAUAUUGAUGCAAAAUUCUGAAAGAACACUUACCUGUCCACAAAUAUUCUUGUAGUCCUAAUUUCUAAACCACAAACUCAAAUCUACAAUAUUUCUCUAAAAAAAUGAAAACUUUCCAAAUAUAGCAGUUUUUUUAAAAAAUAUAUAAAAAUAAAACAUAUUGAUAAAAAAAUUCUGAAAUAAUACUUAUCUAUCCACAAAAAAUCUUGUAAUCCUAAUUUCUAAAUCACAAACCCAAAUCUACAAUAUUUCUCUAUAAAUUGAAAACUUUCUAAAAAUUGCAGUUUUUAAGAAAAUUAUUUAAAAAUACAACAUAUUGAUGAAAAAAUCUGAAAGAAUACUCAACUAUACACAAAUAAUCUUUUGAUCUUAACUUCUAAACCACAAACUCAAAUCUACAAUAUUUCUCUAAAAAAUAAACACUUUCUGAAAAUAGCAGUUUUUAAUAAAAUUAUUUAAAAAUACAACCUAUUCAUGAAAAACUCUGAAAGAAUACUCAACAAUCCACAAAUAUUCUUGUAAUCCUAAUUUAUAUAUAAAAACUCAAAUAUACAAUAUUUCUCUAUAAAAUGAAAACUUUCUAAAAAUAGCAGUUUUUAAGAAAAUUAUUUUAAAAUACAACAUAUUGAUGAAAAAUCUGAAAGAAUACUCAACUAUCCACAAAUAAUCUUUUGAUCUUAACUUCUAAACCACAAACUCAAAUCUACAAUAUUUCUCUAAAAAAUGAAAAUUUUAAAAAAAUAGCAGGUUCUUAAAAAAAAAAUAUAAAAAUAUAACAUAUUGAUUAAAAAAUUCUGAAAGAAUACUUAUCUGUCCACAAAUAUUCUUGUAGUCCUAAUUUCUAAAUCACAAACCCAAAUCUAUAAUAUUUCUAUAUAAAAUGAAAACUUUCUAAAAAUAGCAGUUUUUAAGAAUAUUAUUUAAAAAUACAACAUAUUGAUGAAAAAAUCUGAAAGAAUACUCAACUAUCCACAAAUAAUCUUUUGAUCUUAACUUCUAAACCACAAACUCAAAUCAACAAUAUUUCUCUAAAAAAAUGAAAACUUUCCAAAAAUAGCAGUUUUUAAAAAAUUAUAUAAAAAUAUAACAUAUUGAUAAAAAAACUCUGAAAGAAUACUUAUCUAUCCACAAAAGUUCUUGUAAUCUUAAUUUCUAAAUCACAAACCCAAAUCUACAAUAUUUCUCUAUAAAAUGAAAAUUUUCUAAAAUUAGGAGUUUUUAAGAAAAUUAUUUUAAAAUACAACAUAUUGAUGAAAAAAUCUGAAAGAAUACUCAACUAUCCACAAAUAAUAUUUUGAUCUUAAAUUCUAAACCACAAACUCAAAUCUAUAAUAUUUCUCUAAAAAAUGAACACUUUCCAAAAAUAGCAGUUUUUAAGAAAAUUAUUUCAAAAUACAACCUAUUGAUGAAAAAAUCUGAAAGAACACUCAACUAUCCACAAAUAAUCUUUUGAUCUUAACUUCUAAACAAAAAACUCAAAUCUACAAUAUUUCUCUUAAAAAUGAACACUUUCCAAAAAUAGCAGUUUUUAAGAAAAUUAUUUAAAAAUACAACCUAUUGAUGAAAAACUCUGAAAGAAUACUCAACUAUCAACAAAUAUUCUUGCAAUCCUAAUUUAUAAAUAACAAACCCAAAUCUACAAUACUUCUAUAUAAAAUGAAAACUUUCUAAAAAUAGCAGUUUUUAAGAAAAUUAUUUAAAAAUACAACAUAUUGAUGAAAAAUCGUAAAGAAUACUCAACUAUCCACAAAUAAUAUUUUGAUAGUAAAUUCUAAACCACAAACUCAAAUUUAAAAUAUUUCUCUAAAAAAUGAACACUUUCCAAAAAUAGCAGUUUUUAAAAAAAUUAUAUAAAAAUAUAACAUAUUGAUAAAAAAUUUUGAAAGAAUACUUAUCUAUCCACAACAAUUCUUGUAAUCCUAAUUUCUAAAUCACAAACCCAAAUCUACAAUAUUUCUCUAUAAAAUGAAAACUUUCUAAAAAUAGCUGUUUUUAAUAAAAUUAUUUAAAAAUACAACAUAUUGAUGAAAAAAUCUGAAAGAAUACUCAACUAUCCACAAAUAAUCUUUUGAUCUUAACUUCUAAACCACAAA